rnacentral:lncRNA from 1 species
AUGAACCCCCACCCUAUUAACAAUAAAAUCGAUGGGAUGAGGAGGUGGCACGAGGCAGACAGGGAAUUCGCCUUAGCCUUCGUGAGGAGGCUGAGGGCGGUCUUAGGCAGGGAGGGGGCGAUGGGCAACAACCCAAACUGGGCUGACCAGCAGCAGCCGGGGGAGGCGGAGACGGGGGAGUUGGAGGUAGAGGGCGAGGCUCUGGCCUUGGCUGCGGCCUCGGGCGGCCCCAGUGAGGCAGAUGAUCAGAGGGAGCGAGGGACUCCAGAAGCAGAAGCAGCACAGGCAGACGCAGUCGCAGCACUAGCAGGAGAAGCAGCAGUAGAGGUCCCCGAGGCUGAGGCUGAGGCAGAGGCCUUGGCCCACCGCAGCGCCCUGGAGGACGACCAGAUGGAGCUGGGGGACGAAGGCGACGCCAUGGAGGAAGAGGAGGCUGGUGAUGCUGCUGCUGCAGCAGCAGCAGCAGCAGCAGCAGCAGCGGCGAAGGCUGAAGCCGAGGAGCAGGAGGGCCCAGUGCCGCCACCCCAGCCCGGCCCCCCACCUGAGGAUCAGUCCGUGGAGCCCUCUGCUUUCGGCCUGGGGAGGAGAAUGCGCCUGGUGCUGCUAGGCAACCGCGGCCCCAAUUGAGCUCCCAAAGAGGAGGAAUCUGAGCCGCCACCCUGGAUAAUAUGUGAAGAAAAAAGACAGCAGAAAAUGUCUAACGAAGAUUGACUUCAUUCAAGUUCCUUCCUUCAAUGUUAUUUUGUUCCUUCUGUUUAAAGCAUAUUCAAAAAUCAAAUAAAAUUGAAAGCAAAGUUACUGAUCUGGUCUGU